UUGCAGCAGGGAUAGGAACGAUAUCUUUUUUAUGACUUUGGAAUAAAAAAAUUAAGUGGAUAGCCCGGCCACAA
rnacentral:sRNA from 1 species